rnacentral:lncRNA from 10 species
CCGGUACCUCAGGUGGAAAUGAAGAAAUCACCCGUCUUCUGCGUCGCUCAGGCUGGGAGCUGUAGACCGGAGCUGUUCCUAUUCGGCCAUCUUGGCUCCUCCCCGUGACUUUCAAAUAAAACUAUCAUGUUGUUCUUCUGCUAAGAAUUCUCCAAUGACUUCCAUCUCAGUAAAGCAGUACAAAACAAGCAGACACCCAUGGCCUUUCCAUGUCUAAGGCAAAUGACAGAAAUUGAGGCUCAGGUUUAAUAAUUUGCUGAAGUCUACACAGUAAGUAUUGAAACAAAAUGAGUUUAACUUGUGCUUCUUUAUGACCUAAUUUUAAAAUAUUUAGAUAUAACUUACAUGCCACAACAUUUACCCUUUAAAAGUGUACAAUUCACUAGUUUUUACUGUAUUCACAAAGUUGUAAAUUUAUCACAACUGAUAUGACUAGGCUUUGUGUCCCCACCCAAAUGUCAUCUUGAAUUGUGAUUCAAAUCAGGACUUGAGCCCUGUGUCACAGCUGCUCCAGCUAUGGCUAAAAGGGGCCAAGGUACAGCUCAGGCCAUUGCUUCAGAGGGUGCAAGCCCUAAGCCUUGGCAGUUUUCACGUGUUGUUGGUUCUGUGGGUGCAUGGAAGACAAUAAUUGAGGUUUGGAACCUCCACCUAAAUUUCAGAGGAUGUAUGGAAAUGUCUGGAUGUCCAGGCACAGGUGUGCUGCAGGGGCAGAGCCCUAAUUGAGAAACUCUGCUAGGGCACUGCAGAAGGGAAAUAUGGGGUGGAAGCCCCCACACAGAGUCAUCACUGGGUCACUGAUUAGUGAAGCUAUGAGAAGAAGGCCACCAUCCUCCAGACCCCAGAAUGGUAGAUCCACUGACAGCUUGCACCAUACGCCUGGAAAAGCCAUAGACAUUCAAUGCCAGACCAUGAAAGCAGCCAGGAGGGGGGCUGUACCCUGCAAAGCCACAGGAAUGGAGCUGCCCAAGGCACUGGGAGCCCACCUCUUGCAUCAGCAUGACCUGAAUGUGAGACACGGAGCCAAAGGAGAUCAUUUUGGAGCUUUGAGAUUUCACUGCCCUACUGGAUUUCAGACUUUCAUGGGGCCUGUAGUGCCUGCACUUUGGCCAAUUUAUGACACUUGGAAAAGAGUGUCCAAUGUCCUUACCCCUGUUGUAUCUAGGAAGUAAUUAACUUGCUUUUGAUUUUAUAGGCUUGUAGGUGAAAGAAACUUGUUUUAUCUCAUAUGAGACUUUGGAAUUGGACUUUUGAGUUAAUGCUGCAAUAAAUAAAGUCUUUGGGGGACUGCUGGGAAGGCAUGAUUGGUUUUGAAAUGUGAAAGGGCCAUGAGAUUUGGGAGAGGCUGGGGGUGAAAUAACGUGGUUAGGGUUUGUCCUCCCACCCAACUCUCAUCUUGAAUUGUAAUCCACAUAAUCUCCAUGUGUCAAAGGAGAGGCCAAGUGGAGAUAAUUGAAUCACAGGGGUGGUCUCCACCAUGCUGUUCUCUUGAUAGUCAGUUUUAUAAGGGAGUCUUGUUUCAUAAGGGGCUCUUCACCAUUUUCUCAGCUCUUCUCCUUCCUGCUGCCUUGUGAUGAAAGUGCCUUGCUUUCCCCUCAUCUUCUGCCAUGAUUGUAAGUUUCCUGAGGUCUCCCCAGCCAUGUUGAAUUGUGAAUCAAUUAAAUCUCCU